ACUCUCAGGAAGAGAUUUGAUUUCAUCAGAAAGUACGGGCACCUGAUACUCCCCUGCUACAUCACCAGGAGUUCAUCAUCCUGAGUCAGAGGGUGAGAAGACAGAGUCAGAGAGGUCAAGCACCUCAGCUAGAGCUCUUCAGGGAUACACUGAAGCUUUGAAUCUGAGUGUCUGGUUCCUGAUUGAAGCCUACCUUCGCUACAGAGAUGGACCUUGGGUUCAUUCUUCAGGCUGUAUUGUUCCGAGUUGAACAUUGGUAACUGAUGGAUGCUUCCCAUCCCUCCGGUUCACAUUACC